UCUUUCCAGUUUGCAGCCUGACUUACAGGCUGAUGGCUGGUGACUUUUUAGUCACCAGCCU
rnacentral:sRNA from 2 species